rnacentral:rRNA from 1 species
AUUGAACGCUGGCGGCAUGCCUUACACGUGCAAGUCGAACGGCAGCGGACCUUCGGGUGCCGGCGAGUGGCGAACGGGUGAGUAAUGUAUCGGAACGUACCUUUCAGUGGGGGAUAACGUAGCGAAAGUUACGCUAAUACCGCAUAUUCUGUGAGCAGGAAAGCAGGGGAUCGCAAGACCUUGCGCUGAUUGAGCGGCCGAUAUCAGAUUAGCUAGUUGGUGAGGUAAAGGCUCACCAAGGCGACGAUCUGUAGCGGGUCUGAGAGGAUGAUCCGCCAAACUGGAACUGAGACACGGUCCAGACUCCUACGGGAGGCAGCAGUGGGGAAUUUUGGACAAUGGGGGCAACCCUGAUCCAGCCAUGCCGCGUGAGUGAAGAAGGCCUUCGGGUUGUAAAGCUCUUUCGUCCGGGAAGAAAUCGCAUCAGCUAAUACCUGGUGUGGAUGACGGUACCGGAAUAAGAAGCACCGGCUAACUACGUGCCAGCAGCCGCGGUAACAC